rnacentral:rRNA from 1 species
UACGGAGGAUCCAAGCGUUAUCCGGAAUCAUUGGGCUUAAAGGGUCCGUAGGCGGUUUAAUAAGUCAGUGGUGAAAUCUGGUCGCUCAACGAUCAAACGGCCAUUGAUACUGUUAGACUUGAAUUAUUGGGAAGUAACUAGAAUAUGUAGUGUAGCGGUGAAAUGCUUAGAUAUUACAUGGAAUACCAAUUGCGAAGGCAGGUUACUACCAGUGGAUUGACGCUGAUGGACGAAAGCGUGGGGAGCGAACAGG